CAUAUCUCUAUAGCCAAAAUACAUCAAUGGCCUUCUCAGAAAAGAAACUCACAGAUGCAGCAUUUCUCAUAGUGUUGAAUGCAUCAUCUGGGCAUGAGAAAGCACCUCAUUACUGGUUUUCUGGAGUUCAGUGAUACAACUACACAGACUGUCAACACACUCUCAACAGAUUGUUGAAGGGAUCACAUACUGUCCAUGUUUUGCUACUUUUGGCCUUCGUGAACAUAGUUGUUUUUACAUAAACAAAUGGACACACUGUAAUUCUAAACUCAGUUGUGUAUUGGAGAUGCAUCACAUCACACAACCUCAUCAUCUGCAGAUAAACCUUCACUCAGUCACACCAUAAUGAUGGAUUUAAAGGCAUAUGAAGAUAUUUCACUGGAACUUGGUCUUCAUCACAUCUGUUUUUGUUUUUAUUUUGUUUUACUUCUUUGUUUAUUUAUUCAUGUUCAUUGUCAAUUGUCUUUUUUUAAUGUAUUCAGCUAAUAACUGUUGUUAAGAGCACUGACAUUUUUGCCACAAUAUUACAUGUCAAUAAAAAAGUACCCAAUCCACACAACAUUGUUCUUGUUAUUGUUUUAAUGCAAAACUCUAAUAGGCUACACUUAUAUAUGUGACCCUGGACCACAAAACCAGUCAUAAGUGUCAAUUUUUCAAAAUUGAAUAAAUAAGCUUUCCAUUGAUGUAUGGUUUGUUAUGAUAGGACAAUAUUUGGCCGAGAUACAACUAUUUGAAAAUCUGGAAUCUGAGGGUGCAAAAAAAUCAAAAUACUGAGAAAAUCACCUUUAAAGUUGUCUAAAUGAAGUUCUUAGCUAUGCAUAUUAUUGAUCAAAAAUUAAGUUUUGAUAUAUUUACGGUAGGAAAUUCACUAAAUAUCUUCUUGGAACAUGAUCUUUACUUAAUAUCCUAAUGAUUUUUGGCAUAAAAUAAAAAUGGAUAAUUUUGACCCAUACAAUGUAUUUUUGGCUAUUGCUACAAAUAUACCCCAGCGACUUUAGACUGGUUUUGUGGUCCAGGGUCACAUAUAUGUAUAAGUAUAUAUAUAAAAGGCUCAGUACUGCUUUUCUGGAGCUCAGCCAUUCAGCUACACAGACUGUCAACACAUUCAACAGGUAAAUAAUUUCUUUCUUAAAAUGUCUAUAAUUUAACUUUCAAAUUGUAACUGUUUUCCUACCAAUGUAUUUUUGUCUCUUUUUAGUUGAACAGAAUAUGUAAGUGUGACCAGCCCUGUUCAGUUAAAGAUACUUAUCUCCUCUUCACCACCAAGUAAAUAACAAAGAUAGAAUUUAUGUGAGAUGAUGAAUAUUAUGACUAUUAUUAUUACUUGGGUUUAUGCAUAAACAUACCGAGUCACAGCUAUCCCAUGACUUUAUAUCACUUUUUCCUUUUAACAUACUACUUUUGACCUUCAUAAACAAUUGUUUUAAACAAAUGGAAGGAGACACAUUGUAACUGUAAACUCAGUUGUGCAUUUCAGAUGCUGUCACAUCCUACAACCUCGUCAUCUGCAGAGAGAAACUGCCACUCAAUCACACCAAAAUAUGCAUAAUGAUGGACUUUCAGGCAUCAUAGAGGAUUAUAAAAAGUAUUUCACUGGAACUUGGUCUUCA